GUUUGACUGUUUGACGUCGUU
rnacentral:miRNA from 1 species